UGCAAAAUUGGCUUUCGUUGUUUAGUCACUAAGUCGUGUCCAACUCUUUGUGACCCCAUGGGGUGUAGCCUGCCAGGCUCCUUUCUCCAUGGGAUUCCAGGCAAGAAGACUGCAGUGGGUUGCCAUUUCCUCCUCCAGGAGAUCUUCCUGACCCAGGGAUCGAACCUAGGUCUCCUGCAUUGGCAGGUGGGUUCUUUAUCGCUGAGUCACCAGGGAAGCCCCCAAAUUGGCUUAAUGAUGUUCAGUUCAGUACAAAGGAGAGCACACUUUGGUCUCAGUCUCUCAGUACUGGAUGUAUUAAAUAAGUAAUUUUCUGCUUUUGAAAAUCUUGGCAUCAAGACAAUAUUCCACACUUACUACACACUACAUUAGUGGCUAGAAGCUUGUGGCCACGAUAUGGUUUCAGAGUUUAAGCAUUUUGCAAUCCAGGCUGUUUACAACUGGCCUUUCAACCAGUUAACUCAGAUGACUAGCUAUAUAUGUGGUGUUUAGUGUUACAGUUUCGAGUAUGAAGCAUGAGUUGCUUGGGAAGGAAGCAUGUCAAAGGGUUUACUAGCCUGGGCCCUGGGCUGACAUGGUGCGGGUUAUGUUCUGAGUUUGGUCACAUCCCUGGUUAUGACCUAGGGUGUUUUUUCUCUGCGCCCCAAUUGUUCCGCUUGUAAGAGGGCGUCCUACCCACGCCUGCUUCACUGAGCGUGAAGGGGGUGGGAAAGCAGAGCCUGGUGCCAAGCGGACGCUCAGCAGAUGGAAGCAGGUGUUGUCCACCUACAAGGGAGGCAGAAAGUGGGCCGUUGUCUGAUUAUUUGGGUCAAGAGUGCAAUAUCCAGAGAGGGGACUGGCUUGACAUUUUGAAGUUGUGAACCAGAUCUGCUGAAUGCAGUGCCUGGUCGAAUGCAAACACCUUUAACUGACCCUGGCUUUGAAGAAGAGAGGAGCUUGGGUUCAGGUUUCAGCUCCGCCCUUGCACACGGUGCGACCUCCGCAAGGCCCCCUUGGCAGCCACACGCCUGCUGGUCACAUUUCCCAUGCAAUCCAGGAGGGUGUGGUGAGGACUGAAGGGCACUUUAAAGAACCUAGCAUAGUUUGGGGUACAUAAUAAGCAUAUUAAAAUUGGCGUUUGUACUCUGUCCUUUGAUCAUGUAUCAGAAAGAUACAAUAAGUAUUUAAAAGUUUCUAACAGCUGCUUAAUGGAAGUGAGGACCUUGAGUUAGAAAAUGUAAAAAUACCUUCACAUUUAGAGAAGGGGGUUGUUCUUACUGUGUUACACGUGAUGCAUUUUGGUUUUUUAUUUCCUUUUUUUUUUUCUGAAUGUGAAGGUGACGCUGACUUUAGAAGCUUAGAAAUUAUAGAGAUGCAUAUGGUAGAAAAGAAUUCUGAUACUUCUCCCCAGAGAUGGCUUAUCAGCAGCUUCUUGAAUGCUGAGUUGAACCUUGGCAAGGGAAGAGGAAAGCUUCAACACGGGCUUGAAAACAACAGAAAUUUAACAAGUAAAUCUCCUAAGCAGAGACAUCACAUUGCUGACAAAGAUUGAAACGUGAAUUUGGUUGGCUUUGCCUCUAGUGGUCAUCUUGGGACCAUGAAGUAAAGACUGAGGAUCAUAGACCUUUUUUCCUGCCAGCCUUCCCACCCCUCACAAUUGACCAAAGGUAUCCAUUCUACUUCCAAAAUCAGGCAGAGGAACUGGGAAACCUGACUGCCAUUGGCAGGGUCUGCAGCUUCCCAAAAGAUUCUGCUGUGUUUGAAUGGUGUUCCUCAGCUCUGAUGUGUCCUAGCCUGCCCUUGCUACAGCCUGUCUUUUAAAUAAUUCAUCUGAAAAUGCCAUCAUUUCAUUUAUAUCCUGGGAGGAUAUUUUUGCUGGGUGUACCAUCUAGGUUUGCAGUUAUUUUCUUUCAGUCCUUUAAAAAUAUGCUUCCAAUGUCAUUGGCUCCUGCUGGUCCUGUACGAAGUCAGCCACCAGUCUAUUUAUCACUCCUUUAAAGGAAUUUGCCUUUUGGUUCAGGUUGUUUGGGACUCUCUGUGCUUCCUGGACCUGCAUGUCUCUUUUCUUCAGCAGGUUAGGAAUGUUUUCAGCUGUUAUUUCUCCCACUAGGUUUUCUUUUCCUUUCUCUUUAUCUUCUCCCUCUGGGACCCUUAUACGGCAAUGUUUGUAAGCCUGAUGUUGUCUCUUAAACUAUCUUCUUUUUUUUUCGCUUUUUGCUGGUUCUGGUGGGAGUGAUUUCUACCAGACUGUCUUCCAGAUCCCCAGUCUAUUAUUCUGUAUCAUCUAAUCUGCUCCUGGUUUCCUCUAGUAUAUUUUAAAAAUUUCAGUUAUUGUAUUCUUCAGCUCUGAUUCAGUUCUUUUUAAUAUUUUAUCUCUUUGUUGAAGUUCUCAAUGUGUUCCUCCAUUCUUCUGAGUUCAGUGAGUAGUUUUAUUACUGUUACUUUCUAAUAUUUAUUUUUAUUUAUUUGACUGCACUGGAUCUUAAUCACAGCUGGUGGGAUUUAAUUACCUGACCAGGGAAUGAAACCUGGCCCCCACAUCAGGAGCGUGGAGUCCUAGCCUCUGAACCACCAGGGAAGUCCCUGCUCUUGACUCCUUACCUGGAAGAUUGCUUAUGUCUGUUUUGUUUAGUUCUUUUCCUGAAGUUUUGUCUUCUUCUUUUGUUUGGGACAUAUUCCCUUGUCUCCUCAUUGUGCCUAACAGUCCAAAACAUAUGGACAUUGGUGUUUUGCAAAAGCUCCAUGUGAUUUUAAUGAGUACCGAGAUUGAGAUUUUUCCCAGCAUAAAAUAUGAUAAAGGUAAUACUAAAAGGGAAAACAACAGCCUAAUCUCACACAUGGAUAUAGCUGCAAAAAUAAAAUAUUAAUAUAUAAAAAUCAACUGUCAUAAAAAUUUCACUAAAUAGACUUUAUUGCAGCAACACAUGAAUGAGUCCUUCACAGAAAAGUUAUGAGCAUAAUUUACUACUUUGCAUUUCCUGUGGAGAAAACCCAUAAGAAUCUAUCAAUACAUGUUGAAAAUUU